rnacentral:rRNA from 1 species
GACGAACGCUGGCGGCGUGCCUAAUACAUGCAAGUAGAACGCUGAAGAGAGGAGCUUACUCUUCUUGGAUGAGUUGCGAACGGGUGAGUAACGCGUAGGUAACCUGCCUUGUAGCGGGGGAUAACUAUUGGAAACGAUAGCUAAUACCGCAUAACAAUGGAUGACACAUGUCAUUUAUUUGAAAGGGGCAAUUGCUCCACUACAAGAUGGACCUGCGUUGUAUUAGCUAGUAGGUGAGGUAAUGGCUCACCUAGGCGACGAUACAUAGCCGACCUGAGAGGGUGAUCGGCCACACUGGGACUGAGACACGGCCCAGACUCCUACGGGAGGCAGCAGUAGGGAAUCUUCGGCAAUGGGGGCAACCCUGACCGAGCAACGCCGCGUGAGUGAAGAAGGUUUUCGGAUCGUAAAGCUCUGUUGUAAGUCAAGAACGGGUGUGAGAGUGGAAAGUUCACACUGUGACGGUAGCUCACCAGAAAGGGACGGCUAACUACGUG